UACAGAGGUCUCAAGCGUUGUUCGGAUUCAUUGGGCGUAAAGGGUGUGUAGGUGGCGCCGUAAGUCGGGUGUGAAAUUUCGGAGCUUAACUCCGAAACUGCAUUCGAUACUGCGGUGCUUGAGGACUGGAGAGGAGACUGGAAUUAUGGUGUAGCGUGAAAUGCGUAGAGAUCAUGAGGAAGACCAGUGGCGAAGGCGGGUCUCUGGACAGUUCCUG
rnacentral:rRNA from 1 species